GAUGAACGCUGGCGGCGUGCCUAAUACAUGCAAGUCGAGCGAACAGACGAGGAGCUUGCUCCUCUGACGUUAGCGGCGGACGGGUGAGUAACACGUGGAUAACCUACCUAUAAGACUGGGAUAACUUCGGGAAACCGGAGCUAAUACCGGAUAAUAUAUUGAACCGCAUGGUUCAAUAGUAAAAGACGGUUUUGCUGUCACUUAUAGAUGGAUCCGCGCCGCAUUAGCUAGUUGGUAAGGUAACGGCUUACCAAGGCGACGAUGCGUAGCCGACCUGAGAGGGUGUUCGGCCACACUGGAACUGAGACACGGUCCAGACUCCUACGGGAGGCAGCAGUAGGGAAUCUUCCGCAAUGGGCGAAAGCCUGACGGAGCAACGCCGCGUGAGUGAUGAAGGUCUUCGGAUCGUAAAACUCUGUUAUUAGGGAAGAACAAAUGUGUAAGUAACUAUGCACGUCUUGACGGUACCUAAUCAGAAAGCCACGGCUAACUACGUG
rnacentral:rRNA from 1 species